CUGGAAUGUUAGCAAGCUAUUUGCUGGAAAAAAUGCCCACAACAGGCCUAAUGUUGAUCACAUUAAUGCGUUUGAGUGAGUAUGGAGUGCAAAUGAUUGAAAAUGCUUCCAGAUCCCCGUUGCAAGGGACAAAGCAGGCUCUGUUCUCUGAUCUGAUGGUCAUUUUUUUUUCCAGCGGAGGAUGUGGGGCAGGAAGAGGGAAGAGGGCCAAUCUCUGUCUAAUGGUUCCAAACAGGGCCCGGGCCCGGCCCUCUGGAUGCUGACGAGUGGGAAAUGAAACACAGAUGGGUCAGAUGGGUAAGGAGAGGGGGAUUACAGGUCAGGCCAAAGAGUUGGAAUAAAUUAAGUGCUUAUGAGGUACAGAAUGGCACAUUGUUUAAGUGAAUGGACAGGGAAAAAACAUUCCAGCAUUGUUCAUCCGCUGAGGGAGCCCAACGCUCCUCUUCCCAGACGAGCCCAGGCCACAGAGCGCCUCCUCCUCGCCAGGAUGUUUGUGACCCACAGACUGAAAACGCGGCCAGGCGGUGCCCGAAACAUUCUCCCAGCCUCCAAAGAGGCCAGUUUGGCUUUAUUACACGGGAGAUGUAAUUUAUUGGGAGAAAUGUUUGGGUUCGUGUGUCGGAUGGUGGAGAGUCAGAUUUGGAGUUCCCUGGGGAUCUCCGAGGAGAAGGUGUGUUAAGGAAAUCACCAAGUCCCAGAGUGUAGACGAGCCCGAUCCCUUCGCAGCAGAAGCAGAUGUUCACAAAGCAACUGACCAGGCCAGGUGUGUCCUUCAAGGCUACCUGCAUUCAACAGAGGCGACCACAGCCCAGACCCAUCCUUCUUGGGAGAAUUUCAAGAUGCUCCACAUAGUGGUGCCUAGCGCUCUGUGCACUCAGAGGCUAGAAGAAAAGAUACAGAGGUCCUCUUUCAAGGAGAGGCCCUGAUGUUUCUAUUCUUACAAGGAUUCUUUGGUAAUAAAUACAGUGAAAACACCGUCACCGUAGAGAUAAUACUUAAUGCUCAAGAGGUACGUAGCAGAGAUUGCAUUCCAAUCAAGGACUUCCGUAACCCUGUCUACCAAGCCAGUAUCACCUGUAGGCCAGUUCACCUUCAUCCAGUCACUUUACAGCACUUGAGUGUUUGCUGUCCGCUCAAUUAAAAUCCUACUCUGGUGGGAAAAACCAGAUUUCCAAAUGGGGACUUUAUUGAUUCAAUAAAAUUUAAGAAAUUCUGCUUAUGGAAAAACUCAUUAACCCAAACUAAUAAAUACGAGUUUACCCU
rnacentral:lncRNA from 1 species